rnacentral:rRNA from 1 species
UUCACCCUACGGAGCGCAGCAGUGGGGGAUAUUGCACAAUGGGGGAAACCCUGAUGCAGCGACGCCGCGUGAGCGAUGAAGUAUUUCGGUAUGUAAAGCUCUAUCAGCAGGGAAGAAAAUGACGGUACCUGACUAAGAAGACCCGGCUAACUACGUGCCAGCAGCCGCGGUAAUACGUAGGGGGCAAGCGUUAUCCGGAUUUACUGGGUGUAAAGGGAGCGGAGACGGCAGUGCAAGUCUGAAGUGAAAGGCAAGGGCUCAACCCUUGGACUGCUUUGGAAACUGUGCUGCUGGAGUGUCGGAGG